AGUGAACGCUGGCGGUAGGCCUAACACAUGCAAGUCGAACGGCAGCACAGUAAGAGCUUGCUCUUACGGGUGGCGAGUGGCGGACGGGUGAGGAAUACAUCGGAAUCUACUUUUUCGUGGGGGAUAACGUAGGGAAACUUACGCUAAUACCGCAUACGACCUACGGGUGAAAGCAGGGGAUCCUCGGACCUUGCGCGAUUGAAUGAGCCGAUGUCGGAUUAGCUAGUUGGCGGGGUAAAGGCCCACCAAGGCGACGAUCCGUAGCUGGUCUGAGAGGAUGAUCAGCCACACUGGAACUGAGACACGGUCCAGACUCCUACGAGAGGCAGUAGUGGGGAAUAUUGGACAAUGGGCGCAAGCCUGAUCCAGCCAUACCGCGUGGGUGAAGAAGGCCUUCGGGUUGUAAAGCCCUUUUGUUGGGAAAGAAAAGCAGCAGGUUAAUACCCCGCUGUUCUGACGGUACCCAAAGAAUAAGCACCGGCUAACUUCGU
rnacentral:rRNA from 1 species